rnacentral:tRNA from 1 species
GCAUGAUCCUGGCUGGUGCUGGGUGCAGGCUUCAAACCUGUGGACGCUUAGCGGCGUAGUGGUUCGAUUCCACCUUGC